rnacentral:rRNA from 1 species
AGCAGCCGCGGUAAUUCCAGCUCCAAUAGCGUAUAUUAAAGUUGUUGCAGUUAAAAAGCUCGUAGUUGAAUUUCGGGAUCAUCAGGUUGGUCGUGCCUCUGGUAUGUACUAGUCUCGAUGGUUCCUCCUUCUUGAAGAACCGUAAUGCCAUUAAUUUGGUGUUGCGGGGAAACAGGACUGUUACUUUGAAAAAAUUAGAGUGUUUAAAGCAGGCAAUCGCUUGAAUACAUUAGCAUGGAAUAAUGAGAUAGGACGUUCGAUCCUAUUUUGUUGGUUUCUAGGAUUGACGUAAUGAUUAAUAGGGAUAGUUGGGGGCAUUAGUAUUCAAUUGUCAGAGGUGAAAUUCUUGGAUUUAUUGAAGACUAACUACUGCGAAAGCAUUUGCCAAGGAUGUUUUCAUUAAUCAAGACGAAAGUUAGGGGAUCGAAGACGAUCAGAUACCGUCGUAGUCUUAACCAUAAACUAUGCCGACUAGGGAUCGGAUGAUGUAAUUUUUAAUGA